CAAGAGUAUGCUUGCACGGCCAACUCUUCCUGCCGAGCGCCGCGUCCGUCUUGAAGCCAAAGAGAAGAUUCUGACUGCCCGACCUGAAGAAAAUGUAUCAGUUUCUGGUGGAGGGGGUGGCAAAGACAAGGACAAAGGGUUCGGUCAGGGCAAGAG
rnacentral:ribozyme from 1 species